GAUGAACGCUAGCGGGAGGCCUAACACAUGCAAGCCGAGCGGUAUUGUUUCUUCGGAAAUGAGAGAGCGGCGUACGGGUGCGUAACACGUGUGCAACCUGCCUUUAUCUGGGGGAUAGCCUUUCGAAAGGAAGAUUAAUACUCCAUAAUAUAUUGAACGGCAUCGUUUAAUAUUGAAAGCUCCGGCGGAUAGAGAUGGGCACGCGCAAGAUUAGCUAGUUGGUGAGGCAACGGCUCACCAAGGCGAUGAUCUUUAGGGGGCCUGAGAGGGUGAUCCCCCACACUGGUACUGAGACACGGACCAGACUCCUACGGGAGGCAGCAGUGAGGAAUAUUGGUCAAUGGGUGCAAGCCUGAACCAGCCAUCCCGCGUGAAGGACGACUGCCCUAUGGGUUGUAAACUUCUUUUGUAUAGGGAUAAACCUACCCUCGAGAGGGUAGCUGAAGGUACUAUACGAAUAAGCACCGGCUAACUCCGUG
rnacentral:rRNA from 1 species